rnacentral:lncRNA from 1 species
AUGUAAGCAAAAUACCAUACUGGGCAGGUGCUCCUCAUCAAAAACCCUUUAUCAGAGCAUUUGACAGCACUACCAUCCAAGAAAAAAAGGAUGAGUUCUAAACGCUACAGGAUUUUAAUUGUAGCCGAAAAUUAUCUGGAUGCUGCCACUCAAAAAGACACUAAUAGGGGACACAAUGUACUGUCUACACUAUACAAGUUGCUGCCAGUGUGAUUUAUGUCUUGUGCAAGUUUUAUUGAAUAAUGUAGACAAGCCUUAACUCAAGAGCCCAGCAAACACUCUGCGCAUCAAACUUUGUUGUAAGAUAAAAAAUUUGAGACUAACCGAAAAAAAGCCUACUUAGAUGGUUAGUUUAUGUAGAAAAAUAUGCACUGCUAUAGAAUUUUCAAUGGCUUUGUAAAAUCAUCUAUAUAUAUGAUAUGUGAGAUAACCUUUAAUGAAAAGUGUGUCUUGCACUACUAUCGCGUUUCACGAUUAUGACACAUUUAGGAAAUAUACGGUUUGAGAUAAGAAUAAUAUACCUCAGCUCAAAAGGCGGGUAACUGAAUUGACAUGAAGUAGCACUUGCUGCUUUGUUGCACUGACAUGCAAAAAUAUAUGAUAUAUAUCUAUAUAAUUGGCCAGACGUUCCAAAAAAAAAUCAUUUACAUCGUGACAGUCGUAUAUAAAACAUUGAAAAUGAGAUCUACGUUGCUUGUCUUUGCAGCGGCACUUGUUGCUUAUACCCAUGCUGAGAACUGCACCACCACUAGCACCCAGAACCAGUGUACAAGUACCAACUGUUCGCGAGGUUAUCUGAAGGAAUGUGCCAACAAUGUUUGCACGUGCAGUCCAAACACAUGUACCACAAAAAGUGAUUGUGCGAAUUUUCUCAACUGCAACAAUGAGUGGCAUUGCGUUGACAACGUCUGUAGAUGUUACUGACACGGACAUUUGAUUUACAAAGGCUGAUCUUCAGCAAUAAAUUUAAAGCAUU